UCAAAGGAAAAGAGUACACUAUUUAAACAUAUUGUAACACCCGGAUGUCCAGGUAUGAGAUUUUGUUCCUUUAUUUUUGGGUUUUGUGGGGGAACUCGGCGAGUUGGCGUCUAGACUCGCCGAGUAUGGUCGCGGAUUCGUAUGCGAGUUCACAGCUGGACUCGGCGAGUUAAUGAGUGGACUCGGCGAGUCCACGCUGUUUAAUGAAAUCCUAAUUUCCAGGUUUUAAGACCUAUUUAAAGGCCCUUAUGGCCGUCCAUUGCGGCUACCACACCCCAGAGAGAGAGUCCUAGAUCGCUUGUGAGGUAAAGAGAGGCCAUUGUUGAUCAUUUGUUGGUGAAAUUUGAAGGAGAAGGUGACCAAGGCAAAAGAAGGCUGAAGGAAGUGCAAAUCUAGUGUCUUCAGAGAUCAAAGACUUCAUAUUAAGGUAUUCCUUCGGACCUUCUCCAAUUUUGGGUGUUGAUUCAUAGAGUUAGGGUUUUUAAACCCUUUAGAAGAAGAAUAUGUAGAGUAUUUAGUCCCCUCUCGAGUUUGUGCUUUGGAUCUGGACUCAAAGAGGUCCAGAGACUUUAUCCCAUGGAGCUUUAUGAGUCAUUUUGGGAUUAUUGGACUUAGGUUGCCAUUUUUGGGACUAAAUCACCAUUGGAUGCCAUUAUGUUGAUAUGUAAGCAUCAAGUUUCGAGCUUUACGUGACUUUCGUGCUUGGGAAGGCCAGAUCUGACCCCAGGAGGUCAAUAGAGAUGGUGCAUGGCAUGAACUUGCCGAGUUGUUCUUGAGACUCGGCGAGUAGGGUUAGGGUUUCACGUGAAUAGCUCUGUGAGUAGACUUGCCGAGUUGGGGGAUAACUCAAUGAGUCAGAAAGGGAUUAGAGGAUUGGGGUUCAAGGCAGUACUCGCCGAGUUGUUCUUGAGACUCGGCGAGUUGAGUCGGGGUGGCCUCGCGAUUCAUGCCAGGUGUGACUCGUCGAGUAAAGAGAAGGACUCGACAUGCCAAGAAAGGGACUAAGAGGGUCAGUGGACACGUGUAGACUCGCCGAGUCGGGUCAAAGUUUGACAGUUGACUUUUGUUGACUUUAGGAUUUGGUAAAAAAUAAGGCCUUUGAGCCAGGAGAGGUGUAAAAUGGUCUUUUACCCUUCUGAGGAUGUUAAGAAAGGUUGGAGUAUAGUUAUAUUUAUGGGAGUAUUUGCUUUAUGUGAUUAGGCGGAGGCUAGAUCACGUUUCUACCGAGACAGAGACUUACCGAGAUAUCAGAGGUGAGUCUUCUCACUAUACUGUACCUGGAAAGGUACCUAUGUGUGACCGGAAAGUCUUGUAUGUUAUGAGAUGCAUGUUUUGCGUUGCAUGUUCUGUAUGCGUUAUGUAUGUGAUAUGUAUGUUAUGUAUGAUAUGGGCCGCAAGGCAUUAUGAUGUGGACCGGAAGGUUGAUACGAGUAGGACCGGAAGGUCUACUGGGAUUGGGACGGAAGUCCCCUGAGACACAUGGAUCGGAAGGUCGUGUUGAGUGUGGCCUGGAAAGACGUAUGUGUGUAAGGGUAUUUUGGGAAACUCACUAAGCAUUUGUGCUUACAGUUGUUGUGUUAUGUGUUUCAGGUACUAGCGAGGACCGUGGAAAAGCGUCGGCGUGACUCGUACACACUAGAGAGAGGAUUUGAUUUUUGUGAUCUUGGGAUACGAUAUGUUUUGAUAACUAUUACUGGAUAUUUUAUGAAACAUUUUAUGUGAAAAUGAUUGUGAAAAAAAUGAAAUUUUUUGUUUUGAAAUUCACGUUGUUACACAUAUGGACCAUUUUUAUAAAAGAUAUUGCAAAUGGACCUUUUUUUUUAUAAAUUAUGAGGACAAAUUUUGUAAUUUAUUUUUUUAUACCAAACAUGCCAACAUGCUAGAUUAUUGUGGCUAAAUUUU
rnacentral:lncRNA from 1 species